GGUUAAGCGACUAAGCGUACACGGUGGAUGCCCUGGCAGUCAGAGGCGAUGAAGGGCGUGCUAAUCUGCGAUAAGCGCCGGUAAGGUGAUAUGAACCGUUAUAACCGGCGAUACCCGAAUGGGGAAACCCAGUGUGACUCGUCACACUAUCAUUAACUGAAUCCAUAGGUUAAUGAGGCGAACCGGGGGAACUGAAACAUCUAAGUACCCCGAGGAAAAGAAAUCAACCGAGAUUCCCCCAGUAGCGGCGAGCGAACGGGGAGGAGCCCAGAGCCUGAAUCAGCAUGUGUGUUAGUGGAAGCGUCUGGAAAGGCGCGCGAUACAGGGUGACAGCCCCGUACACAAAAGCGCAUGUGCUGUGAGCUCGAUGAGUAGGGCGGGACACGUGGUAUCCUGUCUGAAUAUGGGGGGACCAUCCUCCAAGGCUAAAUACUCCUGACUGACCGAUAGUGAACCAGUACCGUGAGGGAAAGGCGAAAAGAACCCCGGCGAGGGGAGUGAAAAAGAACCUGAAACCGUGUACGUACAAGCAGUGGGAGCACCCUUUGGGGUGUGACUGCGUACCUUUUGUAUAAUGGGUCAGCGACUUAUAUUCUGUAGCAAGGUUAACCGAAUAGGGGAGCCGGAGGGAAACCGAGUCUUAACCGGGCGUUAAGUUGCAGGGUAUAGACCCGAAACCCGGUGAUCUAGCCAUGGGCAGGUUGAAGGUUGGGUAACACUAACUGGAGGACCGAACCGACUAAUGUUGAAAAAUUAGCGGAUGACCUGUGGCUGGGGGUGAAAGGCCAAUCAAACCGGGAGAUAGCUGGUUCUCCCCGAAAGCUAUUUAGGUAGCGCCUCGUGAAUUCAUCUCCGGGGGUAGAGCACUGUUUCGGCUAGGGGGCCAUCCCGGCUUACCAACCCGAUGCAAACUGCGAAUACCGGAGAAUGUUAUCACGGGAGACACACGGCGGGUGCUAACGUCCGUCGUGAAGAGGGAAACAACCCAGACCGCCAGCUAAGGUCCCAAAGUCAUGGUUAAGUGGGAAACGAUGUGGGAAGGCCCAGACAGCCAGGAUGUUGGCUUAGAAGCAGCCAUCAUUUAAAGAAAGCGUAAUAGCUCACUGGUCGAGUCGGCCUGCGCGGAAGAUGUAACGGGGCUAAACCAUG
rnacentral:rRNA from 1 species